CAGCCGCCGCGGUAACACAUAGGGGGCGAGCGUUAUCCGGAAUUAUUGGGCGUAAAGAGUGCGUAGGCGGUCUAUUAAGUCUGGCGUGAAAUACCACAGCUUAACUGUGGAGGGUCGUUGGAAACUGAUGGACUUGAGUACGGUAGAGGUAAGUGGAAUUCCAAGUGGAGCGGUGGAAUGCGUAGAUAUUUGGAGGAACACCAGUGGCGAAGGCGGCUUACUGGGCCGGAACUGACGCUGAGGCACGAAAGCGUGGGGAGCAAACAGGAUUAGAUACCCUGGUAGUCCACGCCGUAAACGAUGAGCACUAAGUGUCGGAUGUAGAUUCGGCGCUGCAGUUAACACAGUAAGUGCUCCGCCUGGGGAGUACGGUCGCAAGACUGAAACUCAAAGGAAUUGACGGGGACUCGCACAAGCGGUGGAGCAUGCGGUUUAAUUCGAUGCAACGCGAAGAACCUUACCAGGUCUUGACAUCCCGCUGCCAGCCCUAGAGAUAGGGUUUUCCUUCGGGACAGCGGUGACAGGAGGUGCAUGGCC
rnacentral:rRNA from 1 species